ensembl:lncRNA
CCCGCAGACACGGAGCGGUUCGGCUGACGGCCCUCGGGACGGGCCCGGCCUGCCUUCCGGGGCUGCUGCGCCCCACAUCUUCCAGUGAGGCUGCCUGCGUGCCCGUACGUGCUGGUUGUGUUACUCUGAGGGUCUGCAGGUAACGACGUUUGUGCAAUGAGGGCGGCGAGGCAGUGCCACAGGUUGCCCGGAGAGGCGGUGUGCCCCAUCCCUGCACACACCCAGGGUCAGGACGGAGGGGCUCUGAGCACUGACGGGGCUGUAGGUGUCCCUGUUGGUGCAUCGGGCUGGACCCGAUGACCUUCAAAGCUCCCUUCCAACUCCGGCUUCUUAUGAUCCUAUGCUGGCCAUGUGCUUCCCUCUGCUGUCUGCUGUGGAACGUAAGGCGUUAUCGGGUCUACGGUAAGACCUGGGAUAAACCUUCAACUUCCAGUAAGCAGCACCUCUCUGACAGUUAUUUAAAGCCUGUCCGCAUUGUUCCAGAGCUAUUUCCUUUUUCCUCUAAGGCAACCUACAGUAGGAAACCGGCGGUCCCUCAGGUAGCCCGCUUCCACUUCACUUGAAGUCUUGCCUGCUCGUUGCAUUUGGGGCCAGCAGAGCGACCUGCAGAGGCUGAAAAUUGUCUGCGGCUUCCUGCCUUUUGUGGAGUGGGCCAAAGAUAACAGUUUUGGUUUGGUUUCGGACGGCCCAGGAGUGGGCCUGUUGUGAUUCAUGCGUUCCACUUGCAGAUUGGCAUUGCUGAGACUAUAAAAUGGACGUGCUUGCUUUGGACGGCCUUCCGUAGCCUUUGAAGGGCACAGAAGUGUUCUCCCUGGUUUUGGUGGGAGAAGCAGUCUGUUUGGUGUGCUAGGCUGGUGUGCCAGUUAGUAUCUCCUACUGAUAGGAUGGGAAAGGACAGGGGAUUGGGGUCUCAUUUGUGAAGACUGAAUGUUUGUAGAUGGGGCGUUUUGCACAUUACAUACAAUUUGCAGACCAGUGAUUUGGUAGUUUGUUUUAACCGAUCCAUCUGCCAUCUUAACUCUAGAAAUGAAUGGAAAAGACAGCGUGCUGUGAAUGGAAGUCGUGCUCUGUGAAACCAGCAGUUACUUGUGUGGUAACAGAUAUGUUCUGCGGGGAAAAAGAGAAUGAACUGAAAGCGAGACGUGGAAAUCAAGCUAUGGGAAAGGGUUUUUUUUUGUGACGUUGUGGAUGACUGCGAGGGUUGGCAUUUGUAGCAACCAGAGCCCAUCUCAGUCAUGCAGGGAGUCGCUUUGUAAACGCAGCUUUCCUGCCAACGAGGUUUGUUUGCUUGGUGAUAAGAAACAAUGGUCAACUCGAUGUGCUACUUAAGCAUUUCAGUGCUUGAGGAGAGGAAUCUAGGUUUGUGCUGAACCUGUUUUCUUAGUUAGUCAAAUGCCGGCUUGGCAGCCAAUCUAGAAGGCUGGUAGCACCGAGGCAGAGUGAUUAUGAGGAUUGUUUUCAGCAGCCUCUGCUAAGUCUGCUUUUAUGAAACUUCUUUCCGUUAAAGAAAACAGGUCUUAUCUUCAGGAUUGGAAGCACCGCAUGAGGGAGAGGCACGGGCCAUACUUUUCAAGGUGCCUGAAAAGCAGUGAUGGUUUUGGCUUUGAGUAAGACUGGUGUUCAUCCACGAGAGUGAUAUUAGCUGCAGUUAAGGAGGGGAAAGCAUGGCACAGAGGAGCAACAAAAGGUGUGAGUUUUCCAGUUGUACAUGGAGCACUCGUUUUUGUUCUGCUAAGGAGAGUGUAGUUACAUUGGUUUGGGUUUGUUUUUUCCACUUCCUGCACCUGGGGGUUGUUGUACCCUAAUACAGGCUCUUUUUCUUAUGGCACAGUGGGAUGGCAUGAUCGGUGUGUGGCCCUGGGGGCACCCAGGCCUGAAGCCGUGCCCUCACUGUGUGCUGAGAGCUGGCCUUGGGGUGAAGCCAGGUGGUGCCUGACACUGGGUGAGCUCCCAGAGGAGGACAGCACACUCCAGGUCCCGUCCUUAUUUUACUGGUGUUGCAAACAAGUUAUUCUUGUACUCUGCAGAAAGCCUCACGACCACAAAACCAGCAAUAAUUGUAUAAAUGAUAAGCCUGUUUUCCUCCUCCUCCUCCCAGAUAUUCUGAGUGCGACAGACAGCAGAGAUGUGCAUUGCUGGAAUCCAGAGAGUUUCAUAACGUGGCAGCCGCUUGCUGCAUAUGCCACUGCAUACAUAAAGCGGUAUUUAUUUUAAGUAUUGAGGAACAUUCUCUCUAAGCAGAAGAAAAAAGCGUUUAGGUGAAGCCGGUCCCGUUUGUUUACAAGUCUUGGUUUUUGUCUUUAUACAUUUUAAAUGCUUUUUAUUUGUAUCCUGAUUUUUUUUGAGCCUUUCAAGUUCAUGUUUUCCAUUUCUCGUUGUUCACACAACAAGAAAGCCUGGAUUGAGUCCUUACUUUAUAAAGGAAGAUCUCAUUGAGUGUCCCCUCUAACCACACAACCUCAGCCAAAGGGUGUUUAAAAAUACAGCCCCUUUUGAGAGAAUUGCUUGUCUUGAGAGCAGUUUUCAGCUCUGAGCUUGAGUAAUUUAAGUAAAUACUUUGUUGGCGGUUUAAGAAGCUUUUAACAACACCUAUCUCUGUUUGCUUUUCAGGGAGGUCUCUCUUCUACUUUUCUGAACAUCUAGAGCUUGUUUCACCUCUGUAUGUGCUGAUGAAGUCAGAAACGUAGUGUACCAGCAUGACUAACGUGUGUUGAAUAAUGCAUACAAAUAUAUGCACAGAUUUCAUGCAGUCCCCUUAAGCUGCUGAGCAGCAGGGAGGGUGCAGAGCCCCUCCUCAGGGCGGCAGGAGGAGGUGUGUUGGCAUCCUGGGAGGAGCAGAAAACCUCUGUGGUUCCCUGAGGAAAUCACAGAUGCGUUCGAGGCCUUAAGCUUGGUAGCCUGAUGUUUAACCCUGUCCUUGUUUUUGGAAUGCUGUUAACAGAUAAGUGAGCAUUUUAAAUCUGUUGUUGUUUGUUGCGGUGCUGCUCUCAAGCAGUGCACAUCAAGACCAGGAGGAGACAUCCUUCCUCAGCUCAAAGAUUCUGCCUCUCCCCGCUAUGGAUACAAGCACAAGCACCUGGCUAUGCGUUCCCCAGGCUGCAGACAGCUUUCUGGCCAGCUGCUCUCUCUGCUCUAUCCCUACCAAUAACAUCCAGGGAAAGCAGGGGCCGACUGCUGUCCUGUGGCUGUGCAGGAGCCCCAUUCUGUGCUCCCAGGCCAGGUGCUCCAGAAUGGCUUUUCUAGGAGGUUACGACUUGUGUGGUUUCAAUCGCAUAAGUCUUUGGCCUUGUGCCCUGAAGUGCCAGCAGAGGCAUGCUGUAAUUGCCCGUAAACGCACCGUCUGUCAUUAUCAUUGUUUAAUUAUUCCAGCUUCUCACCGCCACGCACUGCUCAGUGUCUCUCCUGCUAUCUUUAUUUAAUUGAGUGGAAAAAAUCUGAGACUUGUGCUUCACUUACGUCACUUUGUAUUUAUCCAGCAUCACUGGAUCCCGCUUUGAAGUCCCAGCUUUUGUAUGCAGAAGUCGGUCUUCUAUACAGACAAAAUAAUGUCCGUGUCAAAAGCGUAUGUUAGAAAUAGAAUCAAUAUUUUAACACAUGGUAAACUCCGGCCACAAAGCUCUUAGCACAGUCAAAUGAUUGUAUGAUCAUCCUUUGAAACUUGGCUCUGCCCCUGGGAAACAAGAAAGGGAAAGAAAACUCUUGAAUAACCAAGCCCUUGUCCUCACAGCGCAGGACUGUUCUCAGCCUGUCGCUUUGUCUGUGCCACUCCUUCCUUUUCCGUCUCCCAGCUCUGUUUUCUUCUGCAUCAAACGCAUUCAGCUCCAGGAGCCUUCUUUCUCCAGCCCAUCCCUAUGGAUCUGUUUUAGUGCAUUACCAGACGUCAGUUCCGUCCCGAGAUCGCCCUGCACCGUCCCCGUGGCAGUUCCACCACGUUUCAGACACCUCUACGCUUCUGUACCAAGCUUGCAACUAACCAGAUAUUAAUGUGAUGCAAAAGGUAAUCUUUCUGAGAUCUCUCCAACGCUCCCCUUGUCCGUAUGGCCUGAAAAGACUUGGCAGUGUGUUGGCUGCUUUUCUUUUCUCCCCUUUCCCCGUGUCAGUGACAAAUGCACAUUGUUUUUCUGGUCUUUCAGUCUCCGAGCCAGACCAACGCUUUGUGCAGCACCUAGCUCACCGGGUUGCUAUCAAGGCAGCUGUGUGCUCCUACACCAACACAAAAUAUUGGGGUUGCUGGCACUCACUCUGGCCUAGUUUGCCUCUCUCCUCUUAGAAGGAGUUUCAUGACGUCCUCCUGGAAGAUCAUUGUACACCUGAACAGGUCUACCUUUCAGGAUUCUAUUUUACUUUUUCAUAAAUCCUCAGCUGAGGUUUUCAUUUGCAGGUGUGCUCCUUGUAAUGCUCGGCUCCCUGACUGAGCCAGCAUCAUUUUUGGGGUUGUACUUUCCGGCUUCUCAUAGCUGUAAGAUUAUUAAUUUCAUACUAUUUUCUGAUUUGUUUCAUUUUUCAUCCAUCUCUUUCCUGCAGGAGAGAGCAAUUUAUAUCAUGAUUUCGCUGUGGAAUUGACUUCAGGCUUUACUGCUAUUUGUCACCAUUCAGGAAAUCCAUCCCUGGCUCGAGAAGAACACUCAGUCCCUGCUGACAGUUUGAAAGAGGGAGAGAAAAUAGAUAGCAGAGCUGCAGCUAUUAGGACCAACAGGCACAUAUUUUAUUCCAACUCAAUUUUCCAUUUCCAAAUGCCUUUUGAAGAAAACCUUUCUGUUUGAAAGAACAUGAAGGAAGGUUGUGGGUACCGGUGGGUUUUUUUGGCGGGUGGGGGGUUGUUUUGGUAGUGAUGGUUUGUUGUCAAUGUUGUUUCGUAGGGACUCUCCUGUUCUUGAUGAUGUCCAUCUUCUUCCACGUUUCAGGCAGCAGGCUCACAACAACGACAAGAUGUUAUCCCACGGAAAGCUGCUGCUGCUGCCUCUGGCCUUGGUUAACCUGUUGGCAAUGGUGCUUGCCUGGGCAUGGGGCAACUGGCUUUUCACACAGCUCAGCAUGGACGUGCUGCCACUCCCAGUCACUUUUAGGACACAGUAGAAUUGUUUUUCUUGAGAUUACUGUACCCAUUAAUCUUAAGAAAAACAUGUAAUAAAACUGUUCAGCCUUCCUGGGGCCACCACUCCCAGAGACCUUUCCCCUUUUUGGCUUCUGCAAUAGCUUCUUUCCUUUGGCUCUGCACCUUUAUCAGCUAGAAAUGAUAAACUACAAAGCUGGUUGGCUUCAGGCUCUCUUUUUUGCAGGACAGGCUAUGCUUGUGCCUAUUGAGGACUGGAAGAUCACAGAGGAUGAGGGGGAAAGGGAAGGCUGCUCGCUCUUGUACACAAUGCAGUGGCAGGAUACAGCCUUUUAUGAAGUUCAGCAAAGAAAAACUUGGGCUUUCCUGCACACCGUGCCAUACCAGUCAGCCUGGUACUUAUGUUCCUGGACCUUUGAAGGCAAGAAACAACAUGCAGUGGGAAUGAAAUCUAAGCCUUGCUGCACCAGAACACUGGUUGCAGCCAAGUUUAGAAAUCUGACGUGAGAGUCAGGUGGAGCAGGUACCAUGACAGGAGAUGCCAUGUAUCACCUGCAGGCAUGCAGAUCUGCAGUGCUGCUACAGCAUCAGAGUCCAACUGCAAUGUGUGGCAUGUGAGAAGCUGGUGAACCCGCGGCCACGUUCGGCUUGAAUACACUUUCCUUGGGAGGAAGUGGCUUUUCCCUCGGAGAGCUCAACUCCCCAGGGUCCCUGUGAGGCUGUGCCAGCUCUUCCAGCCUCCCCACUUUCUGUGUACCUGUGACCAUGGCAAUACAGCCAGGAUUACAUCUAAGGUGAAGACAGAAAAACCAUGAUGAAGGUUUAUGCUAUUUUCAUGACGAAUAUGAUGCUCACAAAAAUGAAAAGCGUGAAUGGCAGUAAUUCAAGAGCCUCUCCCAGU